UAGAAGUUCACCCCCAUUAAAUAAAUAUAAAUUAUACAGACUGAUCAAAUCCAGCCCGCUGCUUUGGACAAUAUGAAUUUUCCCAUAGAAACUCCUCCAAGGUGGAAUGAAUUUCCAGGCUCUGACAGACACGCAGUUUUUAAUUAAGAGCAAAGCAUUUAUUAGAACGGAUGAGAGCACUAAAUCUGACCAAAAUGCCUUUGAAGCUCCCCAGCCCCCCUGCCUGAUUCCACGGGACCUCCCCCUCCCCGCAACGCUGCCGUGGCUUUAUAUUUCACAGCAUCCAUAACACGGAUUUAUCAAAGGUCCCCAUGGCAACGCCCGGGCCAUGCGAGACAAAUACGGGGCCGAGCCUGGAAACGGCACAAAACAAACCGAAAUCGCCGCGUUCCCAGCCGGGCUGCAGCCCCGGAUUCCGGUGGAUCCGUUAUUAAUCCUGCACUUUGCACAACCUCUGGAGAUUUGGAUCUGCCAAGCUUCACACAGCUCUGCUUAAUUCUUGCUCAAGGAAGGAAGGAGUCUUCUGACUGGGAGUUGGAUCCUAAAAUUCUUCCUUGGGAAGGGUUCCCACUUCCGAGGGCUCCGUUGGCUGAUGGGAUUUGAUUAAUCCCCCUCUAAUGAGGAAGUGCAGCAGCUGAGAUGAAAGGCUGAGCCCUCGCUGGGACAAGGUAUGAACUAAUAAGCCAAGCUCAGCUCAUAUGGAGAGCCAGGCAUUCCCGGCGGGGAUUGGAACCAACCUGACUUUGGUGUUUUGAUCAAAACUGUGCCAAAAAAAAUAAAAAUAAUUUUAAAAAAUCCCCGCAGGGUCCAAAACCUAAAGCAAAAAGUCAGCAAUGCUACCACCUGUCUGUUCACUGCUGGUACUAUUGGAUAUUCAGAGGCAAAAACCUGCCAAAUUUACCCCAAAUUUCACUGACCCGCAGAACUGGGAGUCGUUUACCUGUUUGCAGUGGGCAGAAAAUAUCUUGGGAUACACUCCUGAUGCUGGAGAAAUCCAUCCAGUGUUUAAAACUGCACGGAGAGAUGGGAAUGUGAAAGGGAGGAAUAUGGGCUGAGUGGGUUUGGGAUAAACCCUCUGAAUAAUGAGAUUUGCCGGGCUGCAGAACUGAAUUUCAAGAAAAAUCAAUCCACUCAAACGAGAAAUUUAAAACUACCCCCAAACCACCCAGCAGAGAACAUGCUGUACAUCCUUGGCUUAUGGAUAUAAAUCCUUUGGAGUGGCUUUUUCCAGGAUUUGGAAUGGAAGAGAAAUAUUUUGCUGUUGAUGUUAUGUGAGGCUACAGACUUUGUAAUGAUGGUGGUGCCCUCAUGGAAUAAACCAGGCUUCACCCCAAGGAAUUUCCUUCCUCAGACAUCAAUUAAACACAGUUUUUAGGCAUGACUUUUCCUUUAUGUAACAUUCCUAAACCUAUCCCUAAUUAACAAAGUAUGCAGGAGGACUUGAUUGAGGGAUCAGAGCUUAAAGCAGGGCUACUCUUAAAUUAGACAGGAUGGGAGAGUGGGGAACCACGGCACAGAGGGCUGGAAGUCUGAGAUGCCAGGGAUGACACAAGGGGGGACAAACGGAAUUUGCUCCGGAGCCAAUUCCACAAGUGACUGACAGGCAAAAGAGACAGUUUGAACCACACUGGAACAAGCUGCUGCCAAUUAGCUGGGAAGCCUUGACGUGCCAUUUUGUGAUGUUGGUAUUUUUCUUCGCACGGAGAGAUGGAUCCGUGGAAAAUUCCAUUGGUUAAGAUUCUCAUUUUCCUCUCAGGGUGAAUUACUGGUUGCAGAUCAGUGUUCCUGUGACAGCGAGCUGCUUUGCCAGGAGUUUCUCCCAGGAAUGUAAAUUAAAGUGCUGAACUGCAUCGCACUGGGUUUGGGAAUGGCAUCCAAAUGAACUGUCUGGGGCAGUUGUCCAGGAACGAUCACAAGUUCCAUAGAAUCACCAAGACCUAAAGCUUUAAAAAUCCAGAUACUGAGAAGUUUAAGCCUUGCAAUAACAUUUCCAGGUUUGGCAAUGCAGACAAUGUCAUAAUUUCCUCACGGCUCAUUUUUAACCUUUUCUUUGAGUCACAAUAAAUGUUCCCGCAUUUUUUCGUGUCUGGUUUUAUGUUAUAGGAAUAACCUGGGCAUUCCAGUCUCUGUGGACUCCAUUGAUUAAUCUGGCUGAAUUCUUCCACCUCGGGCAUUGACUCAUCCUGGUUUUUCCUGACUUCCAUAAUCCCUGGUUCCUGACAUUUAGAUUUGUGUCACAGCAGCCUGGAUUCAUUUUUUUAUGGGCCCUUUUCCUUUGUUGUGGCACCCUUGGGCACAGCAAAUCUUGAACUCAGAGUUGGUGUGGAAAAAGCCACACAAGUUCCCGAUGAUAUUCAUUAAAUUAGGGCAGGGUUUUAAUUCUUAAGGCUCUGGACUACACCUGACACCUUAUUGCAAAAAAACCCCAAAAAUCCCAAAAGAUGAACAUAAACACACUCUGGAUUCAUUUCCCUUAAUUCAUGUCUCUAAAGCUUAAAGAAUGUCUUUAAUCCAUAAUUAAUCCAAGUGGAGGAGUUCUAGGUAAAGACAGAAACUUUCAAAAGAUGAUUCCAUGUAUUUCAAGGUUAUUUCAGGGAGCUGAGGCGUUCUCCCCUAAUUUUUGCCUUCCAGUAGCUGAAGGGAACCUACAGGAAAGACAGAGAGAGAUUAUUCACAGAGACCUGGAGGGACGGGACACAGGGGAAUGGCUUUAAGGUGGAAGAGAGUAGAGUUAGAUGGGAUUUUGGGAAGGAAGUGCUGCCCUCAGUUUUCCCUUCCCAAAAUCCCAGCCCCUGAGCUCACACCCAGGCUCACUCAGCUCUCUGCACACAGCAGCCACACAAAACAAAUCCUUCUCCUGCUGCACACCAAGGACAGCUGGCACAAGUUCUCAGGCCCCAGAGCACAACCAGCGGUGGCUGCAGGAGAAAACAAGAAGGAUGGGACUGCAUCACCUGCAGCUGGCAUUGGACAAUCCCACCCCAAAGUGCCAAUGGACCCAAACUGAUCCAAGGGGGAGGCCUGGGCAGCGUUUGUCCAUUUGGGGCCCAUUUUGGGCCCCCCUUGGGUGCAGCCCUGGCCAGGCUCUUGUGCUGCCCAAGGUGUGUCCUUCAAGGGCUUUGAAUAAAUCUCUGCUUUAUUCUCCAGCUCUGCCCAGUCUCUGCUCCAGCUCAGCCUUCCCAGUUCCCUGUGAGGGUGGGGAGGCCCUGGCACAGAAUUCCCAGAGCAGCCCUGGAUCCCUGGAAGUGUCCCAGGCCAGGCUGGAAUAACCUGGGAUAGUGGAAGGUGUCCCUGCCCAUGGAAAGAGAUUAUUUUUUACCUUGUGGUAGCUUCUAAAAUAUGAUUUUCUUUCGAAUAAACCAGGGCACGUCUGUACUUAUAAUUGUGAGAGCUCCUCAGCAAAGUGGAAUCCAUUCUGUUCUUUUUCUGUUCUGUAAAUCCAGUAUAUUCCAUUGAAACAAAAGUUCUGGACCGAAAUACCAAUUUUCAAGAGAAAAAUCAUUGUCUUUUAAUCAAUUUUAGAUUUUUUUUGCCUGUCUUCCCCCUCUUUUUUUUAAUUUUUUUUUCUCUCUUAGCUUUCUAUUUUAAACUUAUUAAAUAUAUCCCAAAAUGGGGUUUUAAUAUUCCUGGCCAUCUUUCCAUGUCCAGAUUGCUUCCAGCAAUGGAUUUGACUGUGUAAGGAACAGCAGAUUCCUGUUUUGCCUGUCACUAAAAAAUGCCUCAUUGAUACAGGAAAAGAAAAUUAUUAAAAUGGUUUUUUAAAACCCCCUGCCUUUCCUUCUGCUGAAUUCUUUUCCAGAGCUUCCUCGCCUGUUUUCCAUGCAUUCCAGGAGCCUAUCUCUCUCUAGUGAUUACAGGUGAAUUAUGGGCCAAUAUCCCAUGGAAUAUAAUAAAAUUUUGAUAAACUUAGGCAAGAUAAAGCUCCCACUUCGUGUCUUUAGACCUCCACGUCUGAACUUUCAGUCCUGGUGCCAGAGUGGGAAGGAUGAUUGUGGCUGGCUUUUUGCUCUGUGAACACGAUAAGCAGAAUUAUUAAUCAAGGCCGUAUCUCUGUUAUUAAUUAUCCGUAUCCUCCUUUCAUCGGGGAAUUAUUCUUACUCAAUUAUUUUUCGUCUCCUCUGGAUUCACCAGAUGGGUUUGGCAAGAGGAAAAUUCUUUUUUUUUUCUUUUUUUCUUUUUAUUUUCUUUUUUUUUC